UGCCAGCAGCCGCGGUAAUACGAAGGGCCCGAGCGUUAAUCGGAAUCACUGGGCUUAAAGCGUACGCAGGCGGACAUACAGGCAUCUUGUGAAAUCCCUCGGCUCAACCGGGGAACUGCAGGGUGAACCGUAUGUCUUGAGACUGGUAGGGGCUGUCGGAACGCUAGGUGGAGUGGUGAAAUGCGUUGAUAUCUAGCGGAACGCCGAAGGAGAAAUCAGACAGCUGGGCCAGUUCUGACGCUGAGGUACGAAAGCGUGGGGAGCGAACGGGAUUAGAUA
rnacentral:rRNA from 1 species